rfam:Dialister sp. CAG:486 genomic scaffold, scf545
AUAUCUCUUCAGGGCGGGGCGGAAUUCCCCACCGGUGGUAAAGAUCUUCUGAGCCCACGAGCUGCAGAUGUCCUGCAGUAGAUCUGGUGAGAACCCAGAGCCGACGGUUAGAGUCCGGAUGAAAGAAGAGUGGU